AGCGAACGCUGGCGGCAGGCUUAACACAUGCAAGUCGAGCGGGCGUAGCAAUACGUCAGCGGCAGACGGGUGAGUAACACGUGGGAACGUACCUUUUGGUUCGGAACAACACAGGGAAACUUGUGCUAAUACCGAAUAAGCCCUUACGGGGAAAGAUUUAUCGCCGAAAGAUCGGCCCGCGUCUGAUUAGCUUGUUGGUGAGGUAACGGCUCACCAAGGCGACGAUCAGUAGCUGGUCNGAGAGGAUGAUCAGCCACACUGGGACUGAGACACGGCCCAGACUCCUACGGGAGGCAGCAGUGGGGAAUAUUGGACAAUGGGGGCAACCCUGAUCCAGCCAUGCCGCGUGAGUGAUGAAGGCCCUAGGGUUGUAAAGCUCUUUUGUGCGGGAAGAUAAUGACGGUACCGCAAGAAUAAGCCCCGGCUAACUUCGUGCCAGCAGCCGCCGCGGU
rnacentral:rRNA from 1 species